rnacentral:lncRNA from 1 species
GUCAGGGAUAAUGCCCGGGAUUAGGCCCGAGAGGGGCCAGCGAGGUGGCGGCGUAAGCUAUUGUUAGGGUUCGUAGGAGGAGGAAGAAAAAGAAGAAGGGGAGAGGAUAGGGGUGGAGGAGGAUGAGGAUAAGGAUGAGAGGAAGGAGGAGGAGGAAGAAGAAGAGAAAAGGUAGUGUAAAGUUUACUUAACGAGUGCAAUUUUGAUCUAAAGAGUAUAACUCUCAUCCUAAAGAGCGUAAUUUUUGUUUCAAAUAGUGCAACUUUCACUUAAAACAGUGCAAAAUUCUUUUAAAACAAUGUAACUUU